GAAAACCAAAUACAUAUCUAUUUACUUUUAUAUAGUACAUACACAAAUACAUGUUUUAGUCAAUAUUGGUAUGCUUCACUGUUUCCACUUAUUUUGCUGUCCAUUGAAAUCAAACAGCAGCGACAGGUAACAAAUAUUGCCGGUAGAAAAGUGUAGGACAGCAAUAUUUAUGUAGCGGCGUCUGCAGUAAGCAUAGUGCCAAUUUCUAAGAAAAUAUUAACAGAACAAUCGUGUGAAUGCAGUUUAAUUGGAUAAGUGCUGACUUCGAAAAAAGCAACAAGGGGAAAAAAA